rnacentral:rRNA from 1 species
UACGAAGGGGGCUAGCGUUGCUCGGAAUCACUGGGCGUAAAGGGUGCGUAGGCGGCGCUUUAAGUCAGGGGUGAAAUCCUGGAGCUCAACUCCAGAACUGCCUUUGAUACUGAGGAUCUUGAGUUCGGGAGAGGUGAGUGGAACUGCGAGUGUAGAGGUGAAAUUCGUAGAUAUUCGCAAGAACACCAGUGGCGAAGGCGGCUCACUGGCCCGAUACUGACGCUGAGGCACGAAAGCGUGGGGAGCAAACAGG